GACGAACCGUGCGAACGUUAUUCGGAAUCAUUGGGCGUAAAGCGCGCGUAGGCGGCCCGGUAAGUCCGCUGUAAAAGUCAAAGGCUCAACCUUUGAAUGUCAGUGGAUACUGCCGGGCUAGAGUCCGGAAGAGGCGAGUGGAAUUCCUGGUGUAGCGGUGGAAUGCGCAGAUAUCAGGAGGAACACCAACGGCGAAGGCAGCUCGCUAGGACGGUACUGACGCUAAGGCGCGAAAGCGUGGGGAGCGAACAGG
rnacentral:rRNA from 1 species